rnacentral:lncRNA from 1 species
UAGACUCAAAUAUAUUUCUAUGGACCCCAAUUUCAUAUUUUAAUUCCAUCUAGAAGGUAUCCUUUGAUUGGAAAACUUUCGACCUUCGAUUCUGUUACACGAAUGAAAUGUGUUCAUCUCUUGAUUCUUCUUCAAGUAUGAUUGAUCUUGAUCAUUCUCUUCCUCUUCUUUCAGUCUCAAAAUACAUUGGAAUAUUGAUCACUUUCUUCUUUAGGUGUCUAUCAAUUGCGUGUUCUUUGUUGUCUCAUUAAAAUCUUAAUAUGGAAAACCUAAUGGGACAAAACCAAUGAUAAGAAAAAAGAGUACAAC